rnacentral:rRNA from 1 species
AACGAACGCUGGCGGCAUGCCUAACACAUGCAAGUCGAACGAUGCCUUCGGGCAUAGUGGCGCACGGGUGCGUAACGCGUGGGAAUCUGCCUUUCGGUUCGGAAUAACUCAGGGAAACUUGAGCUAAUACCGGAUAACGUCGCAAGACCAAAGAUUUAUCACCGAAAGAUGAGCCCGCGUAGGAUUAGCUAGUUGGUGAGGUAAAGGCUCACCAAGGCGACGAUCCUUAGCUGGUCUGAGAGGAUGAUCAGCCACACUGGGACUGAGACACGGCCCAGACUCCUACGGGAGGCAGCAGUGGGGAAUAUUGGACAAUGGGCGAAAGCCUGAUCCAGCAAUGCCGCGUGAGUGAUGAAGGCCUUAGGGUUGUAAAGCUCUUUUACCCGGGAAGAUAAUGGCGGUACCGGGAGAAUAAGCCCCGGCUAACUCCGU